rnacentral:lncRNA from 1 species
CUGUACACAAGGCAAAGGCAUAGUGUAUUGUACCUUUACAAGGAUAUUUUUCUGAGUCUGAAUUUGAAAAUCAAAAUGUAAACUCCAUAGCAAUAGCCCUUCUUUACUUAUUCUCAUGAAUUAGACGGCUUAUAUAGUUUGACGCUGAGACUAGAAAGAGUUAUUUAAAGAUUAUUGCUCUAGUUCAUUGCUUAAGUUCCUCAUUUAUGUCAUUUAGUAGCAGUAAUAACCAUAAAACAAUAACAGUGCUGUGGUCCUAGAAAGCACUGUGUACUAGGUGCUGUUUUAGUUACUCAUGUAUAGUGACUUAUUUAACCCUUAUGACAGUGUUAUGAGGUUGGCAUUUUAUCAUCCCUGUUUUGUUUUUUAUUUUUAAUUCUUUUUUGAUUCCACACUUUCACAAUAUAUUUUUUUAAAAUUUUCGGAAUGUAUUAUCUUCACAUUUUUUAGCAAGUGCUAACUAUAGAAAAAGAUGAAUACCAUUUCAGUUUGGUUUCUAAGAUAACAUCAUUCUGACACUCAAAUGCCAAAAUAUAGUAUAGAUGACACAGAGAGCAAUCAUUUCUAUGAAUUUAAUACAAAAUCCUGUAAAAUAGCACCAUUCCAAAUUCUAGAGAAAAUCAUGAGCAAUUAGAGUUGAGACUAGGAGUAGAAGGUCUAUAUGAAAUGUAAUGAUUAAAAGCAUUCACCCCUAUUUUAUUGAGGAGGAAACUGAGUCACGUAAAAGAGAAAUGACAUUCAGAGUCCCGUGCAGAGGAGGCGAUGGUCAGGACAGGGUCUUGUUACAUACCCUUCCUGCUAAACAAAUUCUCUCUCUAAUCUUUACCUCUAGGCUGAAAUCUUCCUUCAAAUUCAGUUCUGGCUAUAGGACAUCUCUUCCCAAACACCUACCGGAUCAUCGAAUCCAGCAUGUUGCAGAUAGAGUGGAAGGUCUGGGGCCAGUUUCUUUGAUUACAGAUAGAAGAACCUCCUAUAUCUCAAACUAACUCCAUCUAAGAGGAAGAAAUCGCUGUGAGGAUAUGAGAGAAACUCAUUAUAAGGGCUUGAAUAGAUAAAGUGAAAAUUUGUCAGGAACAAAAGUGAGCAUUUCCUUUGUCUGUGGGUCACUCUGUCUCUGCAAUCUGUUCUCUGAUUUAUUUCCUUUUUUUUUCAAAAUAAGUUAAGCCAUUUAUUUGUAGUAUUUACUAGUUUCUGUGGUGUAAACAUUCCCUCCAUGGUCAAUUUCAAUUUCAGUGAUAUCAUGACCAGCAUGAUAUCACUGAAGACAGAAUUGAGAAAAGAUGUGUAGUAGUAAACAUUGUUUAUAAUAUUUCCACCACAAAAAUAUAAUCAGUAUCAACAACCUCAUGUAUAGUACAAUAUGGUUAAAUAACUAAGUAAUGCAUUUUUGAGGGUUUUUUUGGUUUUAAUAUAAUUUACCUAAUUCUAAGUUUAUAUGACAUUUAUUUUAAUGGCUUACAAUAUUUUUUAAAAUUAACAGUUGACUCUCAAGAGCCAUCUCAAGCACAAUGCAGUAAUAAAUGUUGUAAUAUUGGUCCUCA